UACAAUGCUUUGACUUUUCGUCUUAUUUGAAAUUUUUUACAAUUAAUAUUUUUAUUGUUACUAGAUGAUAAAAUAUGAAUAAUAUUUUAUGCAUGACUAUUUUUUUUUUAAAUUCUUAUACAAAUUUUUCAAAUAAGACAAAUGGUCAAAUAUUAGACACGGAAAAUGA
rnacentral:pre_miRNA from 1 species